GCUGGAAGUAACGGCGAGGCGGAGAAGAGGAAGGAGAAACACGGCGAGGAUCAGCUGGGAGGCGGGCCGGUAGACGGCGAUCUACACCCCCCCAGUGGGCUGAGCUGGGAUUCAAUAACCGCCCAUUUAGGAGAGGAUCCUAGUGUGGCUGAUGCCUAUCUUCAGCGGUCAUUGAACAAGAGGCGGGGGUCCACCCUGGACAGGUCACCAGGACAACAUAGAGACACACACACGACAAACAACUAUGUACACACAUACCUGUAGACAAUUUAGAGAGACCAGUUUAACUAAUAAUCAUGUUUUUGGAUUGUGGGAGGAUGCCAGAGUACCUGGAGAGAACACAGACAUGCACAGGAAGAACAUGCAAACGUCAUGCAGAAAGACCCAAGGCCAGAAUUAAAACCCAGGACCUUCUUGCUCCAGGGCAACCAUGCUACCGUGCUCCACCGUGCAGCCUCAGUGGAUCUUCGAAGAUCAGGACAUUUCUCCAAGAAAACGGCUACAUAUCAACAGUCAGUGCAACAGUAACGCUUCAAACAGCCGGCACUGUGACAAACAAACCUGGACGAGGACCCAAGUUAGCUUGUCACCAUGCAGAGAGAGUAUGAUGGUUAGGAAGGUAAAAAACCAUCACAGUUCCCUCUCUGAUUGCUUCAACCUGGUGAAAUGUUGCAGGACAAGACUGAGUGCUGCCCUGUUGGUUAAACUGGAUUCUAAGUAUGAACAGAAAGGUUUUGUGCCACUAGGAAUUAUUUCUUACGAGGAGACUUUUUUCCCCUCUCUGAAUAAACCUGCUCGAAUUAAAUUUAUUUUCAUUUGUCUGCACAUCUUUUCUUAGCAGACACUUGGAUUUUCUGCUGAAAAAGUUAAAUAUUAUAAGAAAUAGUGUAAAAUUGAUCAUGUGCAGAAUGUUCUUCUGUUUUUUAACUUCUCCAUAUCUCUUACAUUACCACCUACUGGCUGGAAUAAGUAUUUUUGUAUUUUCAGACGCUUGUAUGGAUAGUUUUAUUUUCUCUGCAAAAAUGUUUGUUUGAAUAUUUGAGACAAGCUGUUCAAAGUCUUAAAUGCAGCCCCAUUAUUUCAUAUCAUGCUCACGCUAUGAGCUUUCUAACAGUGCAUGAGAAUGGAUGAGAAAAUCCCCUAAACAACCUCAUCUGCUGCCGUUAGACUCCAUUUAUUUCCAUGUUUCUUACCUCAGUCAGAGGACAACAUAAAUCUUCCAGUAAGGAUCUUUAGUGCAUUUUCUUCCACUGAAUAAAUUCAUCCAUGUCAUUUAUGCCAUCAAAGGUUUAAAGCUGCAACUUAAGGAAGCAAGUAAUUUGUGAUCUGAGCUCCGUUUUGUGCAUUUUGCAACAUGAAAACUUGUUUUCUGACUAUUCUGCAACUCUGUAUCGUUUUGAUGGACAUGUUUGAAAAACUGAGUGAUUUAUUGGAUAUGAAAUGUAAAUACACAAAGAAAAAUAAGCCUGCAGCUCAGCGACUUUUAAUUUUCUUUCUUUCUUUCGUGACUGACAAAUAAAUGCAUUUUCCACCCUGA